AUGACGGAAAAAUGUAUCAGAGAACGAACGUGAAGAAGAAGAUUUUGCGGAUCCCUAAAGCACCGAAAUAGGACGUUCUUUUGUAAGUAUUUAACAAUGAUUGGUUGUCACAAUCAAUGCAAAUCAGUGAUCAACGCACCUAUUCAGAGGUUGAAAAUGAGUUGGACAACGACAGACAAUGUUGAUGACAACAGGGUUUAUUUGCUU